UAAUCUCUGCAGGCAACUGUGAAGUAUUUUCACAAUCUCACAAUAGCCUACAGAGAUUCUG
rnacentral:pre_miRNA from 1 species